AACCUAAGCCUGUCUUGCAACUCAACUCCCUCACCCAGAGAAUCCGCCAGAUUUUACGCUCAGAUCUGCCACCCCUAUCAAUCAUCUGUGAACAUAAAUAGUGCCCUAGCUUCUCUAAAAUGACUGAAUUCAAACGUUCACAUUUUCAAAUCUUUUGAAAACAACAAAUACAAUUAAAAAUCUGCGAUUCAGAUUCAAAUGUUAGGUUUAUACAUUUAUUACUUCAUGUUCAUCUUAUCUUCGUUGCCUCUCAAUCUAUUCAAAGAAGUGACUUCUUGUUUUAUUGUUAUUUUUGAAUUCGAGCAACCCAUAUUUCAAACUAGAUGAGCCCUGGUUUUUCACUAUAAAUAGGACUCUUAAACUUUCUCAACAGACAGAGAUUUGGACAUCAAAAAGUCUUUUCUACAACCUUAAGCUUAGAGCUUCUAUAUUCUGAGUUUCUUUUGACUAAAGUUCUUUGCUACGUCCUUUGGAAAAUCUGUCUGGAUCGAUAGCGGAGUUUAAGACUCAAAAGCACUAAUUCGUUGCCCCUGAGAAGGAGAACUGGCGGGAUCUGUAACUUCCACCAUUGUGAAUUGAAUUCAGAGAUUUGAUGAACUUUCGACAACUACAACAAGAAAUCGAACAAAGGAAUGAACUACGAGAUCUAACAGGAGCGAAUUGACUCUGAUACCAUGAUGAAACUAUCGAUAUAACGAGCAAAUGAUAGCUAAGAUGACGAAAAACUGUGAAACUCCCUUGAAGGAGAAUAGAGAGAAUAUAUCAGAUUGUAUAUAGAAUAUGAAUGAAUAGUUGUGUAUUACAAUUGAGUAACAACUAUUUAUAAAACUGCUAUCUGUAACUAACUCUAAUUAUCAACAACUAACUAACUCUAACAAACUAUGGUGACGUGGACAAUAGAACCUUCCA